rnacentral:misc_RNA from 1 species
CGAACUCACUGCAGGGUGGUGUGAAGGGGGCAUCGUGUCUCCGUCCCGCGCCCCUUUCGCUCAUCUCACCCACACGCAGCGGCAUACGUGGCUUGUGGCUCUCACUGGGUGUGCUCGUGUCGCUGUGGUAGAUUGCGCCUGCGCGUGGCGCUGCUCUUAAACGAGCUCCCUUAAGUAGUCUUCACAGAUCAAACAAAAAAUAUUUAACAGUAAAAAAAAAAGAGUUGGCGAUGUGGCGUCGGUGCAGCACUGUGGCUGCAGUGCGGCUGCCAUGUGCCGGCAUCAGCGAUGGGAGCAACACCACGGCAGUCGCCGCAUCUUCCUCGCCUUCCUCGCCGCUCUUCACCUCGAGGCGGCACGCCGGCUUCGAUCUUCUCUCGCCGCUGUCGAAGCUCGGUCAGAGUCGCGAUCUGGCAGCGGACCUCAAGGCUGGCCGCCAGCGCAACAACCGCGAGAUCGUCGCCUCUUUCGAGAAGAUGCAAACGAUGGACGAGAUCCACUACCGCAAGACGCAGCGGCCCUGGGAGCUCGUGCCGCGCUACGCAAAGAAGCGUGUGACGGACCUGGUCGGCAUUCUCAGCUCCGAGGACCGGAUGGAGAUUGAGCAGGCGAUUGACAAGAUGCAGUCGCUGUGCAAGACGGACAUGUACGUGGUGCUCGUGCCGACGGUGGGCUACACCACCUCGAAGGCCUUCGCGAACUCCAUCUUUUUCGAUUGGGCCAUCGGAGAGCCCAAUGGAAACGGCCUGCUGCUCGUUAUCGCGCAGCGAGAGGCGACGGUGCAGCUCAUCAGCGGCUUGUCCAUCGAGGAGUACUUUGACAACAACUUCCUCGCACCUGCCGUGCGUGAGGUUUUUCAGCCUCUUGUGCGAGAUGGCAAGCCGAGCCAGGCCACCGUGCAGCUCGUGUACGCGAUUGCGCGGCAGGCGCAGGAGAUGCACAUGCGGUGGGAGAAAGGCCUGCUGACGCUGCCGACGCGCAACAAGGUCCGCUUCGUUGGCAAGACGGUGCGCUACGGUGUGAAGCAGGUUCCAUACCUUGUCGCUGGCGUCCUCUUCUUCACAGCCUGCACGGCGUGGCUCGUGAGUCAGCUGCUCGACACGGUGUGCCCCAAGUGCCAUCACCUCAUGAGUCGCGUCCGCGACGACGCCACGCUGCAGAAGCUGAUGACGCGUGGCCAAUACCUGGAGCUUAUGAACGGAUGUGCGUACUACCGCGUAUGGAAGUGCCCCCACUGCGCUGAUGGUCACAGUGUCGUGCUGUGCUCGCGCGACAUGCACCAGAACACGAAGUGCCUGCAGUGCAUGGACUGCCAGUACUACACGUGCAGCUUGGAAAAGGAUAUCAUCAAGCUGCCGUCGAAGCGCGAGGACGGGCUAAAGAAGUUAACGUACAGCUGCGCUAACUGCCAUAUUGGGCGCGAGGUGCUGCUACCGCUGUACAGGCCACUCACCAUAGACACCGAAAAGCACUGGUACGACUUCCUUGUCGAGGGCAGUCAAACGCAUCAGAAGACGAAUGGCAACCUCAAUCUAUAGUGUGUGCUUGUUUGUGUUUAGUGUCUGUCUGUCUCUCUCUCUCUCUGUGUGUGCACCUCUCUCCACAAGCGUGUGCGUGGUGCCCUCCCGACGUCUCUCCCAUCUCCUUUCCUCCAUCUGCCCUGUACUUCUGUGCGUCUGCCCCUGAGUAUGUGCGUAGGUCUGCGGUGUAUCACAUUCUGCGUUGGCUUGUGCGUCACGCUCCCUCACUAGCGCCCCGCCAUCGCCACCCCGCUUCCUCCCAUGGCAAGAGAGGAUGUCGAUGAUGCGGCGCAAUGAGUGCACAGGCAUUUGCGGGCAUUCAAUGGUCACCGCAGCCAUCAUAACGAUGCUGCACCUCCUCUCCUCGAUGUUUCACUGGGGUGCACGCACGU